rnacentral:rRNA from 1 species
UACGGAAGGCAGCAGUGGGGAAUAUUGCACAAUGGGCGCAAGCCUGAUGCAGCCAUGCCGCGUGUAUGAAGAAGGCCUUCGGGUUGUAAAGUACUUUCAGCGGGGAGGAAGGCGAUGCGGUUAAUAACCGCGUCGAUUGACGUUACCCGCAGAAGAAGCACCGGCUAACUCCGUGCCAGCAGCCGCGGUAAUACGGAGGGUGCAAGCGUUAAUCGGAAUUACUGGGCGUAAAGCGCACGCAGGCGGUCUGUUAAGUCAGAUGUGAAAUCCCCGGGCUUAACCUGGGAACUGCAUUUUGAAACUGGCAGGCUUGAGUCUUGUAGAGGGGGUAGAAUUCCAGGUGUAGCGGUGAAAUGCGUAGAGAUCUGGAGGAAUACCGGUGGCGAAGGCGGCCCCUGGGACAAAGCUGACGCUCAGGUGCGAAAGCGUGGGGAGCAAACAGGGAUUAGGAUACC